CCUACGGGAGGCAGCAGUGGGGGAUAUUGCACAAUGGGGGGAACCCUGAUGCAGCGACGCCGCGUGGGUGAAGGAGCGUUUCGGCGCGUAAAGCCCUAUCGGCAGGGAAGUAGAUGACGGUACCUGACCAAGAAGCUCCGGCUAACUACGUGCCAGCACCCGCGGUAAUACGUAGGGGGCCAGCGUUAUCCGGAUUUACUGGGUGUAAAGGGGGCGCAGACGGGAAUGCAAGCCAGGAGUGAAAGCCCGGGGCCCAACCCCGGGACUGCUCUUGGAACCGGAUGGCUGGAGUACAGGAGGGGCAGGCGGAAUUCGUAGUGUAGCGGUGAAAUGCGUAGAUAUUAGGAGGAACGCCGAUGGCGAAGGCAGCCUGCUGAACUGUGACUGACGUUGAGGCCCGAAGGUGUGGGGAGCAAACAGGAUUAGAUACCCGUGUAGUC
rnacentral:rRNA from 1 species